AAGCAAAUCCACAACAAGAAUAAUAUUUAAUUAUUAGAAGAAACUUUCUUUUUGGUUACAAGGUUUUAUUUUCAUUUUAUUUUUUGUUUCUUGCUAUAUAUGGGGUUAUGCUAUUUUUAGAUGAUUUUGUUUUGUUAAACUCAAAGAGAAGAUGUUAAUUAUGUUAUGUGCUUGUUAAUUAAUUUUCUCUGUUUGAAUAGAUCAUCGUCAUCGUCAUCGUCAUCAUCGUUUUCAUAUCACAUCAUCUCUAUACUUUAUUUAAUUAAUGUUGAUAAAUAUAUUUCUGUAGUCUCUUUGAUUGUUGGUCCCAUGAACAAGAAUUUAUUGCUCUUAAUCAUAUACAUGAAAUUAUGAGCUUAUUUUCUUUCUCUUCUUGUUGAGACCAUGAGCAACCGUAUACAGUACCCAGCAGUUUCCGUUCUCAUUGACAAAAGCAAACUUUAAUACAUUUCAAGAACAGCUACGCAUGCUGCUGCUGGAUGCCUUUUUUUUUGUCAAAAAAAGUGGCAUAAUCCAGGUAUUUUCCAAAUACAUAGGGUUGGCAACCGCUCAGGUUUCUUCAGGUAUUUGACUCCAUGGCAAUCAAAUUCGUUUACGUAGUUGAUAAAUGGAUCUUAAAUCGAUUCGGUUCUAUUUUUAUUAUUCAUGUUGAGACUUGAGUUAUCUAUUUAAUGAGUACUUUACCAUUAUUAUA